GACGAACGCUGGCGGCGUGCUUAACACAUGCAAGUCGAACGGAAAGGCCCUGCUUUUGUGGGGUGCUCGAGUGGCGAACGGGUGAGUAACACGUGAGUAACCUGCCCUUGACUUUGGUAUAACUUCAGGAAACUGGGGCUAAUACCGGAUAGGAGCUCCUGCUGCAUGGUGGGGGUUGGAAAGUUUCGGCGGUUGGGGAUGGGCUCGCGGCUUAUCAGCUUGUUGGUGGGGUAGUGGCUUACCAAGGCGUUGACGGGUAGCCGGCCUGAGAGGGUGACCGGCCACAUUGGGACUGAGAUACGGCCCAGACUCCUACGGGAGGCAGCAGUGGGGAAUAUUGCACAAUGGGCGGAAGCCUGAUGCAGCAACGCCGCGUGCGGGAUGACGGCCUUCGGGUUGUAAACCGCUUUCGCCUGUGACGAAGCGUGAGUGACGGUAAUGGGUAAAGAAGCACCGGCUAACUACGUG
rnacentral:rRNA from 1 species